AGAUCAGAGGGCCUUCAGAGUACAACUGUAACACAAGUGGGAGGCCGCCACCUGGGUCUCCGCCUGCCGGCUCACCCUCAGAUUUGGGACCUGCCAGCCGCCAUGAUCACAACCUGCAGUCACCUGUAUCCAACGGCAUCUGGUGAAGGCAGGAGUCCUGCCUCUGUCCCACGUUAUAAAGGACUGUGCAGUGCGCCUGCAACAGAUGCCCCACAUGGGUUUAUUGAAAGAAGGAAAAGCAAAUGAGAAAAUCUAUCAUCAUUUCAUCUGCUACCAGAAGGACUAGGUGUGAUUCAUCAUUCCACAGCAAGAAAGGGAUCGUUUGCUCCAGCCGUCUUCACCGACGUUGCCCAGCAGUGGGGGCUUCAGUCUGUUUCCGUGGAGCAGACUAGGCUUUUGGUUAGGGUGCUGCAGCUCUAUUUAGCACGUUAGGCUAUCAGCUAUCUGUAAGCAAUCCACAUGCAUUAUCUUUCCCAUCGUUCAUAAUUAAACUCCUCACCACGGAAACUGUAGCACAGAGUCUCUGAUCUUGCAUCCCGAUUCCAAGUAUUUCUACCCCUGUGGAAAUGCCUGUAACGACUCAGUCCAGAUUUCUAAUAGCAGAGGGAUAGCUGCUGUUAUUGGGGACUGACUGCACGUUAGCAUUAGGUUUGAUCUUCACCUGAGCCACUCUUAUUCCUCAUGGCCCUCUGAUUCUCUGUCGAAGUGCAUGGCUACAAAGGAUACCAGUCAGAGCGCAGCCUGAGAAUCAGAACCACGAGGAGCGAUGUGAAAUAAGGGAUUGCUUACAGGAACUUGGUCUUAUGCCCUUGGGGC